GUCCAUAUUUCGUGUAGCUCUGCAUAAUCUUAUUGUAUUUUUUUAAUCAAAGCGCUAAUUAUAUUUAUUUCAUUGUAAUUAAGUUCAGAUUUAUCUAAAUUAUUAAAAAUUUAUAAAAGUUUCAUGGCAGGAAAAAAGAAAAUUAGCAUAUUUCGAUAAAAUUUUUCUGACACGAAAAUCUAACCUCGAAAGUUUAGCAUCGUAAUGUUAAAUAAAAAAAUACAGGGUUAAAGACGUCAUCAUAGAAAAAAGGCUAAAAAUGCUAAACUUUUCGGCGUCAAUUCUUCUCAACUCAGAAUUCAGAUUUGGAGAAGAAUUUAAUGAAAUUGUUAUCCAUAAAUAACAACUUCUACUAAAUCUUCGAAUAAGUGUUCAAUCAUGAAGGAUGGGUGUUUGUUGCGGAGCUGCUCCUGGAGGAGAUCUUGCAUUGCUGAGUCGCAGUUCAAUACAGUUGGUCCAGCAGAGGAAGGAUUUGCCCAUUUAAAAAGAGGAUAUGCUGUCAUCGUAAAUUUUACACAACGCAGAAAUUUUCC